rnacentral:rRNA from 1 species
GGAGGGGGGGCAAGCGUUGUUCGGAAUUAUUGGGCGUAAAGGGCGCGUAGGCGGCUUGGUAAGUCAGACGUGAAAUCCCGCGGGCUCAACCGCGGAACUGCGUUUGAAACUGCCGGGCUUGAGUCCCCCGGAGAGGGUAGCGGAAUUCCCAGUGUAGCGGUGAAAUGCGUAGAUAUUGGGAGGAACACCAGUGGCGAAGGCGGCUACCUGGACGGGUACUGACGCUGAGGCGCGAAAGCGUGGGGAGCAAACAGGAUUAGAUACCCUGGUAGUCCACGCUGUAAACGAUGGGCACUUGGUGUUGCGGGUAUCGGCCCCUGCAGUGCCGAAGCUAACGCAUUAAGUGCCCCGCCUGGGGAGUACGGUCGCAAAGGCUGA